rnacentral:snRNA from 1 species
UGCUUUGAGCAGUGGCAGUAUCGUAGCCAAUGAGGUUUAUCUGAGGUGUGAUUAUUGCUAAUUGAAAAAACAGGAAUAUAUACCUAUAAAUGGUAACUUUUAUUGUAUAUAAAUUGCAUCUCAAUUAGUCACAUAU